UGUGAGACGAAUUUAAGUUCCACCUUAAUUUUACUCCAAAGACCGAAUCUACUUACCCGUAACAAAUUAAGAGCAAUUUAAAGGGGGUACAGCUCCUUUUAAAAAGAACACAAUCUCUCCCAGAGGAUAAGCACUCUCUUCAUAUAUCCUGUAGGCUUUAAAGCAGCCAUCAAUAAAGAGUGCGUCAAAGCUCCAACCCCAUAAAAAUCUAGAAACAAAUGCGACUCCCUCACCCACAACAGGCUAACCUAUCUUAAAUAGGAGCAUCAAUGCUAGAAUAAGUAACCGAGGAACCUCCUUCUGAAGCACAAACUUACAUACCUCCAAAAUUAUUAACAGACUCACCAAUACUAUAACCACUACAAGAACCCAGUAUUUAACAUAUUCCCUGUUAAACCAACUCAGGAGUGCCCAACUAGAAAGAUUCAAACCUGCAAAAGGAACUAGGCAAACCCAAGGCCCGACUGUUUACCAAAAACAUAGCCUUCAGCCAACCAAGUAUUGAAGGUGACGCCUGCCCAG
rnacentral:rRNA from 1 species